rnacentral:rRNA from 1 species
CCUACGGGUGGCAGCAGUGGGGAAUAUUGGGCAAUGGGCGCAAGCCUGACCCAGCAACGCCGCGUGAAGGAAGAAGGCUUUCGGGUUGUAAACUUCUUUUAAGGGGGAAGAGGAGAAGACGGUACCCCUUGAAUAAGCCACGGCUAACUACGUGCCAGCAGCCGCGGUAAUACGUAGGUGGCAAGCGUUGUCCGGAUUUACUGGGUGUAAAGGGCGUGCAGCCGGGCCGACAAGUCAGAUGUGAAAUCCGCGGGCUUAACCCGCGAACUGCAUUUGAAACUAUAGGUCUUGAGUGCCGGAGAGGUAAUCGGAAUUCCUUGUGUAGCGGUGAAAUGCGUAGAUAUAAGGAAGAACACCAGUGGCGAAGGCGGAUUACUGGACGGUAACUGACGGUGAGGCGCGAAAGCGUGGGGAGCAAACAGGAUUAGAUACCCUUGUAGUC